AACAAUGUACCAAAAUAGUUCAAGAUUAUAUACUCGAGUUCAGUUAAGUGAAUAGAACAAUGAAGACUAUGAAAUUCAGCACACGAUUUAUGUCCAUUGUCCGCAUAGAAAAAGUAUGAGACACUUUAGGAAAGAAGUAAAACUAUCAAAAUAUUGAUACGUAUCAUGUAGUCGGUUAACGAAAGAAACGAUUUUAGUCGCAAUUUAAGAAAUCGGAUUUGGUAGAGAGCUACGCGAAAAAUUGGCCCAACACAAACUAAGAACACGACAUAUCUUUGGAGCCACGCUCAGUAAUACAUUCAUGAUUUCUUCUUAAGAUGAUCCAAGUUCGUAUGGUUCUGUUUCUAGCAUAAAGGGGCAUCAAUAAUGAAGCGGAAAUUUUUUGAAAGUACACUUUUUCAUAUGACGUGCAUUUCUACACUGUAUAUACAUUUUAAAACCUUGUGACAAUUGCGAUAUUCUGCUACUUCUUCUCAGGUCGGUUUUUGGAGAAAAUAUAUGUUGUUUUCAAUUAUUAUAAAGAAAUAUAUUUCUUCUUCUUCUUCUUCCUGCUGUCUAUAGGCAUCAUUGCAUGUUUUUCUUCACAUCAUUGCCUCUGCUCUUUGUCCUGCUGGUGAUUUGUCCCUUGAUAUUUUCUCAAUGUGCUCAUUCCAUUUUAUCUUUCUAUCCAGUACCCAGUCAUUGAUGUUAUCUAUCCCGCAUGUUCGUCUUAUGUUUUCACUUCUUUCUCUAUUCAUUAGUGUCCCGGCUAUUCUUCGAACUAUUUUCAUUUCUGUAGUCUUGUUUUAUCAAUUUCUUGUUUUCAAUUAUUGUAAAGAUAUAUCAAGAGCUAAUUAACGCAUGCUUAUCCGAAAAUGUAAAGGUUGUUCAUAACAAUUGGAAAACUAUUUUUUAUCUAACUUCGUGUUAUCACACUAUCCUUUAUUCAUUAUACUCUUAGCGAUGUUUCAUUAUCACCUUGUAAGCGAACUAGCUACCUUUAUCUGCAAACGUGUUUUUAAUCGAACACUUCGAUAUAAAGUUCUUGUUUAGGAAAGUUUCACAUCUUCCAAUUACACGCCUACCGAAAAUAUUCGUAAAAAAAUAAUUAUUACUCCACCUAGGAGUACAUACAUAUAAAAAUCACAAGAAAACAAUAACAAAAAUGAAGUCAAAUUAAUGUUAUAGGCAUCUAGAGUUUGAUAUAAAACCUUAUGUCUGUACAUUAUUUUCAUUGAGUGGAAUGAUAAGCGGGUCCUCAUAAUGAAAAUUCCUUAAAAGCAGAACCGGACUUAGGCAUGGGCCAACCCGGUCGUGCGCCGGGGGCCCCCGCUGUGGGGGGGCCUCGCGACGAACCGUAUGAUUGAUUUUUAAACAUAUGAAUGCAAGCGAAAAAAUACGUCCAUAGCCAAUGUUCAGAAUCAAAAUAAAUUUUUUUAUGCACAAUCAUUUUAAAAGUUCCGAAAAAUCACAUUUAAAAAAAUGAAAGCUCGAAGUUGCGCCCAAUGCAUGGUAUCGCUGAUUUAUUUUUUAAAAUCACAACGACGAGUUAUAAACUACGCUUCCCCCGGAUGAGCUGUAGAUAUUUUAUUACAUAUUUACGAGUGUGCGCGAGCGCUUGUUUUUUAGGCUUUCUUGAAAUCACCUCGUACAUUGCGAAACAUAGGAAACACUGCAAACUAAAUCAAUAUAGCGUAUUGUGUAUUGAAAAUGAGCUACUGAAAUCGAUUGACUGCACUAGUGUUAUUGAAGAAUUUGUAAGUAGCAAAAUAAGAAAAAAACGUUUUUAAUUUAUGAACGUAAUUUUGUACUAUUUUUAGUUAGAAAUAAUGAAUAAAUUGACUAUAAUGAAAAAUCAACCUAAGAAUUCACGUAAAACGCCCGCCUUACAUAGACCCCUUAAGUAUUUUGGCCCGGGGGCCACGAUGACUCUAAGUCCGGCUCUGCUUAAAAGUUUCCUCUUCAUCGAGAAAUUUACAGAUCUCUUGAACCGUUAAUAUUAUUGACAUCAAAUGAGGGGAAUAAUUUGUUUUCAAUAUUUAGAUAUUGUACAGUUUGUAGCUGCUGGAUUUCUAUGUUUCAAAUAUAUAUUGAUACGGUUUUCGGUAUAGUGGUAUUGCAUUCUCUAAUAUGAACGAUAAUUCCAUAUAUCUUGUAGAACUUAUUGGUUUCCUAUACCAAACAAUUUUUAUAUUUUCGUUUCUAAUAAAUUAGGUGUCACGAAAAGAUAAAGAUUAUUCAGCAUUUUCUCUUUCUAUAGUAAAUUCUAUAUGAGGGUCGAAACUAUUGAAGUAAAAUAGCAAAUUGUCAAUUUCAUUGUAUGGAAAAGUUAUAAUUAUCAUAUUCUUUAAUGAAGAAUAAUUUUAAGGGUAAAA